UACGUAGGGGGCAAGCGUUGUCCGGAUUUAUUGGGCGUAAAGAGCGUGUAGGCGGCCUUACAGGUCAGCUGUGAAAACAUCGAGGCUCAACCUCGAGACGUCGGUUGAAACCGUAUGGCUAGAGUCCGGAAGAGGAGAGUGGAAUUCCCGGUGUAGCGGUGAAAUGCGCAGAUAUCGGGAAGAACACCCGUGGCGAAGGCGGCUCACUGGACCGGAACUGACGCUGAGGCGCGAAAGCGUGGGGAGCAAACAGG
rnacentral:rRNA from 1 species